AUGCAGCUGACGAGUCCCAAAUAGGUCGAAACGUGCGUCCUGGAU
rnacentral:hammerhead_ribozyme from 1 species